GUGGGCAAAGAACCAACCUCUCGAGUAUGAGGACGCGGGUUCGAUUCCAGGUCAGGCAAGUACCAAUGCAACUUUUCUAAGUUUGUAUGUACUUUCUAAGUAUAUCUUAGACACCAAUGACUGUGUUUCGGAUGGCACGUUAAACUGUAGGUCCCGGCUGUCAUAGAACAUCCUUGGCAGUCGUUACGGGUAGUCAGAAGCCAGUAAGUCUGACACCAGUCUAACCAAGGGGUAUUGGGUUGCCCAGGUAACUGGGUUGAGGAGGUCAGGCAGGGCAGUCGCUCCUUGUAAAGCACUAGUACUCAGCUACAUCCGGUUAGACUGGAAGCCGACCCCAACAUAGUUUGGGAAAAAGGCUCGGAGGAUGAGG
rnacentral:lncRNA from 1 species